CGGAAUUUAUUUGACAGUCCAAAAACGAUGUCGUUAAUUUGUUCUCAGUAGUCACUGGUCCGCUGCACAAGAAAAACAACACUUUUAUUUUUUAACCUAGAUUUUGCCAAAAUCAAUUAACCACUUAUUUCUGUCGAGUAUCAUCUCUGUAAGUUGAAUCUUUUCCUAAAUCAGGUUUUAUACUGAAAUUUUUGCUUUCUGAUGGAAUGCAUUUCAUCAUAUGUACAAAAUCCACAUACAUACGUACACAUAUAUCUAAGGUAUAUGAUUAAUUAUUUUAAUGUGGUAUUUGAGUUAGACAAUUGGAAUGGCGGCUGAACAACCAAAAGAGGCGACUGAGGACGCAAAGAUCGAUCUAUUCGAAGAUGAUGACGAGUUUGAGGAGUUUGAAAUUGGUCAAGUUAAAUCAUUUAUGCAUUUAUUAUUAUUAUUAUUAUUUUUUUUUUUACCAUUAUCUGUUAUUUUAUAUAGAAUUUUGAGUCUUUGACAUUGUAUUAAAGUAUAGUUGUCUAUAUACGAUUUUUCUUUGAAUGUCAUCUGUGGAUUUAAUCAAGCGCAAGGAAUAUAAUCUUUUAAUUGAACUAUUCUCUUAAAAUUAUGUAUGUUAAUACUUUUUUUUACUAAACAGUUUGUUUUGAAUGUGUAUUAGUAGUCUACUUUCGUCCUGGGAUCCUCUCGUCUUCCACUGUCUAUUCUUGCAGAUUGGUCUUGAUGCAAUAUUCCAAUACAAUUAUCUUCAUUGUGAUCUGCCUUUUUGUAAAAAUUUCAUUGCCUGAACAUAUGAAAGCUGAUUCCUCGACUGAAAUACUCUUUUCUUGUCUCUAUAUAUUGCAAACUUGCUUGUACUUAACUUUUUUAGGUGAAAAAUAAAAUAAAAUAUUAAAAUCUUGUUGGGAUUGAUCAACAUGGUUGUCGGCUGGAUUGGCAUGAAACCAUCUUUCUUAUGAGUGCAAUGUCGUAUUGUGAAGUAUUCAUGCCAAUCCACCAUCCCUCUAUACUAUAUUUUUGGUGGAGUCUAGAUGGACAGUAAUGAGCAAGCAUGUUCAGUCAUUAAAUUUACUUUUAAAUGUUUAUAGAGAACAAAAUAAUGCUUGCAAUGUCAUUUCGUAGGACAAUAAAAUAAACAUCAAUCAUAACGACUAAUUAAGCCUUAUUCCCAAUAACGGCAAUGUCCCUAGUGUUUCAAUAAUUGUUUUGAUUCUUUCAGGCAAUGUAAGUUGCAUGAAUCAAGCUAGUUUAUUGGAGUUGCCGAUCUCAUUUGCUAUUUUAUUCCAAGCAUUCUUAAUUCUUAUGAGCUAUUCUACUUAGGCACUUCUAUCAGUUCGAUACACGAUUUGAUUCUUGGCUUUGGUUGUGUCCAUAUGGACAGGCUUCAUACUGGAGCAAUAUACUUGAUUAAUAAAAUAUUCAGCAUUUGGUUUUGUUUUAAAUUAGGAAUGAGAAAAUUGGGUCGCACUCGAAAGACUAUAGAUUACAUCAAUUCAUGCUAAAACAAAGAGGCAGAGCUUAACUCACAAUGUAGCUAUUGAGUUAAUAAUAGAUUUUCAAUUUGUCAUGAUUCGCAAUGUAGUUGUGAUGAGGACAUCUCCUUUGGAUUACUUUCCAGUUUUGUUUUGGGCUUGUAUUGUGUUUUGUAAUUGGGCUAGUUUAGUAUUUUGCUUUGGGCUUGCAUUAUAUAUGUAGGUUGGCCCAAGCCUUUUUUAUAUUUUGUAUUUUUUAUAUAUAUUCAGCCCUUUGUGUAAGUGGGGGAUAGAUUGGAUGAAUGAAAUGAUAUUUGAGUGUUAAACACAUUCUCUCCCUCCCUUCCUCUUCUCUCCUCCUCCUCCUUCUCUGGUUGUCUAUCUUGCUCCUUCUGCUGGUUCCUUUAGUUUUCUUAUUUUCUACUUCUAUCUUUGAGCUACAUCAAAGUGUAUCAGAGUCAAAACUUGGUUUCUUUCAUCAAGUUUCUUGUUAACUGUUGCUGGAACAUCUGCAGGCAAAACUGGGAAUUAUUGAUGUCUUUCUCCACCUCUUCCCAUAAAUCGUAAGAGUCAUGUUCAUCCACGAGUAAACCUUAAUGUUAUAUGAACUUUUGUAAUAUUCCCAAAGUGCUAGACGCAGCCCUUAACUCCAACCACGUCCCAACUCACCACCGCCUUCUCUACACCUGUUUAAACCACUGCAACACCAUGCUCUCAAUGGCUCCCUUCCAAUAUUCACACUAUUAGCCUAACCAAAUCCACAACACAGCGACCCAAUUUCCAUCCAAUAUAAUAUACGACCCAACGCGAAAUUACAGCAACCAGAAAUUGAGCCAAUUCCUUUCCGAACUCGGACCACUCAUGACAACCAGGAGCACCCACCCCAUGACAGCAAGGAAUCAAUUCCAUCGGCACCCGUAAUCCACCAAUUGACUACCUAACACCUUUUCCAAUCUCCAGCAACAUAUAUACACAAAUCCAACCGAAACCACCUUCACCUGCCUCCGCCUCUGCCUUCGCCUCUACAAAUAAAGCCGACAGGUGUUUGAAUGGCGAGUUUAUGUGAGACAGUGGGUAUUUAAUUUCAGUUGGGCUCUGCUUAUAGUUUGUAUUUAGGCCUUACUUUGUGUAUUUUGGAGAUUGGGCCUCAAUUGUUAUGUACAUAGUGGAAUGAUUGGUAGUUUAGGCCUUUAUUAGUGUUUGGACUUUAGCUUGUAACUUGUUUGCUUAUUUGAUUUGUGUUUAAAAAAAAAAAAAAAAAAGAAUAGAAAAAAGAGAAAAAAAAAGGAACAAAAAAAGGAGGAACAAAAAAAAGUAUUUUUUGACAUCGUUUUGCAGGUACCUCUUUUUGUCCUAUUGAUCGUCCCAGUUACUUUAACGAACAAAAAGGGGAAGUUACUUUUUAUCUAUCUUUGGUUUAUAUUACUGUUAAUUUAAAAUUGCAUCAAUUAAUUUUCUGUGAUGCUAUUAUCCUAAGUAUUUUACCUAAAAUCACGUAAUUGAAUCCUUGUUAAACCCACUUUAUCUCACUUAUUUUACGUGAUUAGAUUUUGACUAGUAAUUUUGAGUCUCUCUUUGUUAUUUUAUAUUUAUUAGCAGUAUUAGCUUGUCAUACUUGGACUUACAUAAUCCUAAACUUUCAAUUUAAAUGCUCAAGUUGCUAUUUCUCGUUACUUGCACUUGUUGUUCAUUGAUGUCUCCGCUGCAAGUCAUUUAGCUAGUGUUACAUUGGAUAAAGUUGCGUAGUGGUCGUCUCGUUACCUCUAGUUCUAGUACAUUGACCAUGGACCCAUCCUAAUUUGAUGUACUCGCUAGACAAUUAGCACAACUUGUCACUAGCCAGCAGCAUUUACAGAGUCAAUUAGCGGCUAUCCAAACUGAGAUGGUUGCUACUCGUGAAGAGAGCAGAGAUCUAGCUACUAGGUUGAACCAUUCUGAACAAACUACUCGUUCGACUGAUGCUGAUAACUCUGAAGCGUCCCAUAAUGUACACUAUUAUCAUUGACAAGGUGGUAGAUAGAGAUGUCAACGAGCCUAAAUUUUAGGCUCGGGCUCGGUUCGGGUAAAAUGUUCGAGCCUUUUUUUGGGACCGAGCCGGGCCGGCUCGGGUUUUGUUUGGUUUUGGAUUUUUUUUUGGCAGCCUUGCUGCCAUAACACAGCAACACGCUGCCUUGUAAUUUUUAAUUUUUUUUUUGUUUUUUUUUAAAUAUAAGCUCAUGAGCCCGAGCUGAAAAGCCACACGGCCCGGCUCGGGCUUUGCCCGGCACCCCAAAAUGGAGCUCGGUUCGAUUCUCACGAGCCUCGAGCCGAGCGGGCUCAACCUUUUUCCAAGUCGAGCCAUGGGCGAUCCGAGCUGACGAGCCCGAUUGCCAUCCAUAGUGGUAGACAACAUCCUCGACGUGAUCGAAGGAAUAAAGAUCAUGGCCGUGAGCAAGAACGAGGCUAUGGCCGUCACGAUACUCAUUCUUCUCCGCGCCAUGAAGAGCGUUACUUUAGAAAUAUCAAGUUAGAUGCUCUUACUUUCGAUGGUUGCUUACUCCUAUAGUUUUUACUCGAUGGAUUAUGACAUGGAUCAUUUCUUAGCUUGGUACGGAGUCCCAAAGGAUCGAAGAAUCCAAUUUGCCAAUCCGAAAUUAAUUGGCACUGUCCAACUCUUCUGGGAAAGUGUUGAGGAUCUCCUUGAGAGGUGUUAUGCACCUCCAGUUGGAAGUUGGGAGGAAAUGAAGCGUUACCUUUAAGAGAAGUACUUGUAGUACGGGCAACUUGUUAGACAAAUGGAAUGCCCUUAUACGGGGAAAUUGACCCAUGACUGACUAUGUUACUCAAUUUGAUGAAUUUUGAAUGUGAGGUCACGUCGUUGAGGAUGAGGCAAUGACUUUGAAUAGAUAUAGACAGGGCCUAAAAGAUGAUCUUAGGCGUAGGCUUAUCUUUCGAGGUGUCACUACUCUUAAUCAUGCUUAUUCUUUUGUCCAAGAUUAUGAGUUGGUUACUAAGACUUCGCAUGGAAGGCGUGCUGACAAUCGUCCUUUCGUCUCGUCCGUGCUACCUUCGCCUGUUAAGUCCCUCUUAGGGCCUCCCCCAUUUAAUGUCUACCUUUUAUUGGAAAAUAAAGGUAAAGCUCCUAAAAUUCCAAAAACUUCUUCCCACUUGCAGUGCUUCAAUUGUAAAGGUUUUGGUCAUAUCUCAUCCAGAUGUCCUAGUCGAGCUUAAUCAUUGAUGAACGAAAAGAUGUAGAAGGUGAGCCAUUAGAAGAUCAAGGCUAUGAACCUAAAUUUGAAGAAUUUGACGAUUUGGAUGAUAUUGAGGAUACCUGAUUAGGUUGUAUUCGAACCUUCCUCAUAGAUCUAGGUUCUGUAACCCCUGUCCCCGACAACUCGCACAAAGUGUUGUACGUUGUAUCCUUACUUACCCUAAAGAUGCUGAUGACUGGCGUCGUCAUGCCAUUUUCACACUUAUAGCAAGAUCAAUAAUAAGGGUUAUAAAAUUAUUGUGGAUAGUGGUAGCUGCAUCAAUGCAGUUUCAGUGGCUAAAUUGUCCGGUCUUGGAUUGCAGUCAGUCCCACACCCUCAACUUUAUAGCGUCUCUUGGGUUUCCAUUUCUUCUAUUGCCAUAAACGAGCGUUGUUUGGUACCUAUCCAGUUUCUUGAAUACAAAGAUCAUAUAUGGUGUGACGUCAUUCCCAUGGAUGUCGGAUACGUCAUUCUUGGUUGACCCUGGUUGUUCAAUUUGGAUGUCACUAUUCAUGGUCGGUCAAAUCCAUGUUCCCUUGUGUUUAAUGGGAAGAAGAUUCACUUUAAUCUUUUACCGCCAAAACUUGUUGAUUUACAACAGGCUAAGAAAAUUGUGAUGCGGAAAUGAUUACAUAAGAUCAGCCCUACAGAAUUUGAGCGUACAUUCAAAGAGAAUUCUGUUGUGUUCGUCGUGGUCGUCAUGGAAGUUCCAUCGGAAUCUCCAAUAUCGACCCUUGACGAGGUCCAGUUAAUUCUUCAAGAGUUUCGGAAUGUCUUUCUUGAAGACCUCCUGGAUCUAUUGCCCCCUUUACGGGAUAUUCAACAUGCCAUAGAUUUUGUCCCUGGAUCGUCUCUUUUAAAGUUACCUCAUUAUAAAAUGAAUCCUACUGAGCUUGCUGAGCUCCAGAGGCAAGUAGAGGAGCUCCUUCACAAAGGAUUUAUUCAUGAGAGUUUAAGCCCUUGUGCAGUUCUCGCCCUUUUGAUUCCUGAGAAAGAUGGCUCUUGGAGGAUAUGUGUUGAUAGUCGCGCCAUCAAUAAGAUCAUAGUGAAGUACCGUUUUUCAAUCCCUAGGCUUGAUGAUAUGUUUGAUAUGAUGGGUGGUGCCACAAUAUUUUCUAAGAUUGAUUUACAGAGUGGGUAUCGCUAAAUUAGGAUUCGUCCGGGUGACGAAUGGAAGACUGCCUUUAAAAUGAAGGAUGAUUUUUAUGAGUGGUUGGUCAUGCCUUUUGGACUAACCAAUGCCCCCGAGAACUUUUAUGAGAGUGAUGACACAAGCUCUACGACCGUUCAUGGGUAUAUUCCUCAUUGUCUACUUUGAUGACAUUCUCGUGUACAAUAAAACUAGGGAACAACAUUGAGAUUAUCUCACACAGGUUUGUUCUACCCUUCGAGCAACAAGCCUGUAUGCUAAUGUGAAGAAAUGUUCAUUCUUCACAUAUAAAGUUGUCUUCCUAGGCUUUAUUGUCUUCGUGACAGGAAUAUUUGCUGACCCUGCAAAGAUUCAGGCCAUUGUUGGUUGGUCUAAACCCAAGACUAUACACGACGUUAGGAGUUUUCAUGGUUUAGCUAUCUUUUAUCGUCUUUUCAUUAAAGAGUUUAGCACAAUCAUGACUCUAUUACGGAGUGCAUGAAAAGAGGAGAAUUUUAUUAGAUGCACGAAGCGGCCAAAGAAUUUAAGUUGGUUAAAAGGCGAAUGACGGAAGCUCCAGUCAUGCGACUUCCUGACUUCUCCAAAGUUGUUGAGGUAGAAUGUGAUAACUCUGGGGUAGGGAUAGGUGGAGUUUUGAGCCAGGAAUGCCACCCUAUUGCUUAUUUCAGUGAGAAACUAAAUGAUGUCAAACUACGGUACUCGACUUAUGACAAGGAAUUGUAUGCAGUUGUACAAGCUUUGCGCAAUUGGCGUCAUUACUUGUUAUCUCAGGAAUUUGUCCUUUAUUUGGACCAUGAGGCCCUUAGCUACUUUAAUUCCCAAAAGAGGUUGAAUGCUAGGCAUGGUCGUUGCAUUGAGUAUUUGCAAGCCUAUACUUUUGUUUUGAAACAUAAGAAAGGUAGUGAAAACCUAGCGGCGGAUGCUUUAAGCCACCGCAUUUCCCUUUUGUCUAUUAUGAGUGUCAAGGUCAUAGGUGUUGAACGACUCCAAGAAGAUUACGAGUCAUGUUCUGAUUUCAAGGACAUUUUCCUUGCACCGAAAAGUGGACAUUUGGAUGCUACUGAUGGUUUUCGUCUAGAGGAUGGUUAUCUUUUCAGGUCCAAUAAAUUGUGUAUCCCUCGAACUUCAGUACGAGACUUUAUAGUUUGGGAAAGUCAUGUUGGAGGCUUGGCUGGGCAUUUUGGACGUGAUAAGACAAUUGAAGAGGUUGAACGUCAAUUUUAUUAGCCUCGUUUAAAGACAGAUGCGACUAAGAUAGUUAGCACCUGUAACACCUUUCAGUUGGCCAAACAGAAGAGACAAAACACUGGUCUCUACACGCCUCUUCCCGUCCCUAGUUGUCCUUGACUAGAUGUCAGUAUAGAUUUUGUACUUGGACUCUCACGUACCUCAAAGAAACAUGACUCUAUUUUUGUUAUUGUAGAUCGUUUCUCGAAAAUUGCUCACUUUAUCCCUUGCAGCAAGAUUUCAGAUGCGUCUAAGGUUGCCAGAUUGUACUUUAAUGAGAUAUUUAAGUUGUGUGGUCUUCCUAAGACCAUUUUGUCGGAUAGGGAUAUUCGGUUCACCAACCAUUUUGGAGAACCUUAUGGCACAUGGUUGGUAGUAAAUUGAAAUUCUUCACUGUAUAUCACCCUCAAACUGAUGGUCAAACUCAAGUUGUUAAUCGCAGUCUUGAUAAUCUGUUAAGGUGUCUAGUUCAGGAAAAUCUUAGGAAUUGGGAUUUAAUUCUCCCUAUAGCCCAAAUUGUAUAUAACAGUUUUGUGAAUCGAUUUUUAAAUAUGAGUCCUUUUGAAGUUGUUCAUGGUUAUAAACUCAGGAAGCCUUUAGACCUUAUCCUUAUGUUCCCAUAUGCUAACGUGUCUGUGUCAACUGAGACAUUUGUACAUCUUCAUGACUUGCACAUUAAGAACAAUAAAUAACUAGAGGCAAGUAAUGCAUCAUAUAAACUUUGAGUUGAUUUGCAUAAACGACUGUUGAACUUAAUAUUAGGGAUUAUGUGAUGAUCUCAAUUAGACUGGUACGGCAUCCAUCUGGAUCCGCUUCCAAGUUGCAAGCCCAUAGUGCUGGUCCUUUAAAAAUUUUAAAGCGUGUUGAUCCAAAUGUGUAUGUCAUUGAUCUUCCACCAGAUUUUGGCUACCACUCUACUUUCAAUGUUAAGGAUUUAGUUGCUUAUAAAAGCCAUUUUAACCCCUUCGAUGAUCCUUUUCUACUUCCAUCUAUGGACCCUCAACUUGAAUCUGUUGUUACCCCUACUUCAACAUCACCUGUUACAAUACCCAGAGAUAAAUUUGAUGCUAUUUUAGAUGAACAGAUUAUGUUGACUAAUGAUGGAGAGAUUCAACGUUUCCUUGUUCGAUGGGUAAGCCAACCUGAUUCUGAUUAUACAUGGAUCCCUAGAGAGACAUUCUAGCAACUUGAUCCCGACUUAGUGGAGCUUUAUAGGAGUUAGCAAGACCUUCCUUUGCCUAGACCACCUAUCACACGUCUAUGGACGUCAGAAGAAGUUUGUCCAACCACCCAACUUAUGGUUAGGAGACUGACCGCAACAUUUUCGUGAGUCAUUCACUCGACAAAGUUGAGUUUUCUCCCACUCCGAGAGAGUUGAUGAGGACAUUUGCUUAGGACUACUUUCUAGUUUUGCUUGGGCUGGUAUUAUGUUUUGUAAUUGGGCUAGUUUAGUAUUUUGCUUUGAGCUUGCAUUAUAUAUGUAGGUUGGCCCAAGCUUUUUUUAUAUUUUGUAUUAUUGAUAUAUAUUCAGCCCUUUGUGUAAGUAGGGGACAGAUUGGAUGAAUGAAAUGAUAUUUGAGUGUUAAAACACGUUCUCUCCCUCCCUCUUCUCUCCUUCUCUGGAUGUCUAUCCUGCUCCUUCUGCUGGUUCCUUCGGUUUUCUUAUUUUCUACUUCUAUACUUGAGCUACAUCAAGUUGUACUGCAGAUGAAAAUGCAUUGUUCUUGCCUCGUCUUGAGUCCAGUCUAUUUAGUUGCUGAAUUCAUAAAUUGUGUUAUUAAUAUGAAUUUUGAACACCUUAUUGAUUCGGUAUUCAGGGACCUUCAUUUUUUGUACAAUGUGAUUUUCCCCUGCAUCUUGAACUAUUUGGUGUGAAUUCUUCUGAGCACACACUUUAUCACUGGAUGUGAUCCUCUCUUUUUUUAUUCUUUUCUCUUAGUGUGAUUAAAUAGUUGUUAUUAUUCAAAUAAAAAUAUUCGUAUGACCUCUUUCCCCUCCCAAAUUUACAUCUGGAAUGUUGAAAAUAUUAAACUUACUAUAGAGAUGAUCAUUCUAUGGUGACCAUUCUUCUUGGUGCAGUUGUUUAGUUUUGUAGUAAAAUUAACCUAUGAAAAGAAGAUCAUAGUGAUGUGCGUUCUCCGAAUUAUCCAACACAUUAAUUAUUCACCAAUACUUGCUGUUCUAAUCAGGGUUCAUUUUAUUCAAGUUUAUUAUGUUCUUUUCCUUCUCAUUAAUCGGAAUUGAAUUCGUUUAUUAGAGAUUCUGAUUUUUAACAUGUUUUAGAACCUUUUGUAGUGGGAGCAUCGCAACUUUCUGAAUUUAUUUCCUUAUUCAUAUGAAAUUGGCAGAGUGGGAUGAAAAAGAGGAAGGUAAGGAAGUAACUCAGCAAUGGGAAGAUGAUUGGGAUGAUGAUGAUGUCAAUGAUGACUUCUCUCUGCAGCUUAGGAGGGAAUUGGAGAGCAUCACUGAGAAGAAUGGAGCUAAGUCUGCAUGAUAUAAGUUUCUCUUAUUGAUGCUUCCCCAUAAUUUAUUUGUUACCAAAUCCUGUGAUGAUGUCCUUCUAGAACAUUGCGUGUAGGAGAAUCCAUUGAGUUCUCAUUUGAUUCCAGAGUCUUGUUAAUGAAGAAAUUUUCUAUUUUCAUUCCUUAUUCUGAGGUAUAUUUUUAUGGUCCAACUUGACAUCAUUUCACUGGCUGUUCAAUUUCUUCCAUAUCUGAUACAUGAGGAAUUUAUGGCAUUUUUAACAAAGUUAAUUAUAGGUUUGGC
rnacentral:lncRNA from 1 species